AAACCGUGUACGUACAAGCAGUGGGAGCACGCUUCGGCGUGUGACUGCGUACCUUUUGUAUAAUGGGUCAGCGACUUAUAUUCUGUAGCAAGGUUAACCGAAUAGGGGAGCCGAAGGGAAACCGAGUCUUAACUGGGCGUUAAGUUGCAGGGUAUAGACCCGAAACCCGGUGAUCUAGCCAUGGGCAGGUUGAAGGUUGGGUAACACUAACUGGAGGACCGAACCGACUAAUGUUGAAAAAUUAGCGGAUGACUUGUGGCUGGGGGUGAAAGGCCAAUCAAACCGGGAGAUAGCUGGUUCUCCCCGAAAGCUAUUUAGGUAGCGCCUCGUGAAUUCAUCUCCGGGGGUAGAGCACUGUUUCGGCAAGGGGGUCAUCCCGACUUACCAACCCGAUGCAAACUGCGAAUACCGGAGAAUGUUAUCACGGGAGACACACGGCGGGUGCUAACGUCCGUCGUGAAGAGGGAAACAACCCAGACCGCCAGCUAAGGUCCCAAAGUCAUGGUUAAGUGGGAAACGAUGUGGGAAGGCCCAGACAGCCAGGAUGUUGGCUUAGAAGCAGCCAUCAUUUAAAGAAAGCGUAAUAGCUCACUGGUCGAGUCGGCCUGCGCGGAAGAUGUAACGGGGCUAAACCAUG
rnacentral:rRNA from 1 species